rnacentral:tRNA from 1 species
CCCCACGCAGCACGCGGGGACAGGUGGUCAGGCCGAACUCCUGAAGCGGGUGUCGCAGGUUCGAAUCCUGCCGGGGGAAC